rnacentral:lncRNA from 1 species
UUGGGACUGCGGUCUUAUGGUCAUGUAUAUGCACAUGGCACAAGUGUACCACCAGCCUGCAGGCAGCUUGUUCAAUGGGUCCUAGAUGAUCAUUGAGCCAAGGCUAAACCGAGACGGUGGCAGAAUAUUGUUUUUUUUUAUGAGAGUGGCACAAUAUAGUUCAGGUCUGUGAUAUGACAGCUGUGUUUUCAAAUUCAAAUCAUUCUUAUAUUCUAAUCAGAACACUAUAUAUGUACGCUGACAGUCUUGCAUUCAGACGUGAUGGGUAGUCCGCUGAAAAUGAAGGAAGGGUGAAUUUUCUGGUACGCGGCAGCAAGACACCUCAUCUGUGCUUUUUGAACAUGA